AUAUUUCUUGGGGUUAAAUAUUAGUGUAGUAUUAUAACACACACGUCAUUGCUUAAAAUGAUUGAAGAAUAUAUGUUCAGAAAACUUCAUGAAUAUAUGUUCAAGAAAACAUCAUGAAUAUACGUCCAUACUGAUUCGAAUAAGAGAGCAAUCCGUAACGUUCCCACAUGCAUAUGCGAGAAUAUCGGAUGUAGAGGGAAUGUCACUUCAGAACUAAUGUGUUUAUUUGUUUCGUCUUAACCUCGGUUACAAUCUAUACUAUACUAAAAGCCAGAUAUUCUCAAUGGAGAAGGGAUCCACGUCACAUUAAUAAUUCAGACCAAUCAUAGAGUUGUAUUGUGCCAUGUCAUAUGUUCCUCACACAUCCAAAAUUAGUUCGACGACUUCGUCUUCCUCCUUUUCCUCGAAGAAAUCCCAACCGUUUCACCUCUUCUCCUCUGUAACAUUAAAAUUGUGACUCAUAAAGCUUUAUCAUUUAGUGCAAUCACUAUAUAAUCUACCUCUUCACAUCCAAUUUUGCUGAGGAGAAGAAGAACUACAACGUAGAAUCUAUAUUUCCCCGGUCAUGCCAAUGUCAUCAACUCUGGAUCAAGCGCUAAAUCUCUGUCAUCAACCAAACACUGAUCAUGAAGAAAUCAGCAAACUCCCAUCUUCAAAAGCCAAGGAUAACAGAAAGUCAUCAUCCAACUUUCCAGACUUCUGCAACUGGUCUCCAUGAGCUCCAAACUACGUGUUUAUCCUAAUCGUUAAGUUCUCAUUCUUUGGGUUCUUGAUCUUCCAUUACAUCAGAUUCAUCACCGUUAAAUCCUUCAAGAUUUUCUAACAGCGAGAUGGCUUCACCAAAAUGGAACUGAGGUGAAACACAGUCUGGAAACUCAAAUUCCUAUUAGCUCCACCUUCAUCACCAUCGGUAUCCAAAGAAGCCAGUGCCGUCCUAAUACUUUGAUAGUGAUUAAGUUGAGGCUUGAGGCGUAUUGAUGGCACAACGACCAGAUUGUUCUACUUCAUAUGAUAGUUUAGUCGGAUCCUGUAACACACUUUUGAGAAUAACCAUUUACAAGUACCUACUGCUUAAUCCACGAAAGUCUUUUGUCUCCACGGGAAGGUCUCCCAUCGUCCUGUAUUAUAACAAUCAAGGGAGUUAGGCAUGGAUAUAAGAUCAGAACGAUUGUUGGUUUUGAAGCAUAACCCGUGUUCCGAUCAUGUCAGAGCUCCCAAAACAACACGGAUGACCAUAGUCAGAAUCAAAAGGGUAAGUGACAAUCACUUCUAGGGAACCAUCUCAGAGUGUAUUGGCAACUGGUCUCAGCUUAAAAAUCUGUAAGUUGAUUAGCAAAUGGAAACUAAAGCAGGACUCAUGUUUAAAGCGAUUUUUUUUAUAAGACUGGUAUAAGCAUCAUCCCAAAUCAUAUCCAGAAACGGCAUCAAUACCCUGCACAAUAGAACACAAACUGUGUGUGAUCUGGCGUGUAGAAAAGGACUUGACGUCCUCGACCUUCCACCUGAUAUCCAACCACACUCGAGAAGGAGUACUUCAAGAACCAUCAUUGUCUCUAAAAUCGUACAUGGGAAAACUCUCCAUAAGUUUGGGGCAUGUAACUGGUACACUGAUACGUACUCCUGCAGGAUAUGUACAUUCUUAGAUGUUCAUUUUCUUCAUCUUAUUUAGAUUAAAGGGGCAGUAACCUUGAAGAAGAUGAUAGGGAUGGGUUUUCCUUUGUUAGACGUGAUAUACCCGUAACCCGCCACUAGCGCUGAAAAGCCUUCUGGCUAAGGUUGUGAAGUUGUUCAGCCGUCUACUAAGCUUCUGCCAGUUGCUCAGAUGGGAGUUGUUGGUCGGAGUUGAAUGUAUCUUCCACAUAAUUGGAAUCGCACAUGACAAAUCAAGUUGGCUUCUCGAUGACGUCCUGCAGUCAUUUAUGAAAGCUCAUGGACCUCUGAAGAUAUCAACAAUUGGGAAUUGGUCAGUUCUCUUACAGUGUCAGAUGACUUUCUGUGCUGCUAUUGUGCCAAAUACCAAACGUAUCAGUGUUAAACUUAGUAAAGCUAAUACAAUCCAACUUUUCUUCUUUGUAUGUGUUCUUUACAUUAAAAGAACAAGAUUCUCCGGUGA